CUGUGAGUUUCAGGAGAGAGUGUAGAGAACAAAACAAGUAACAAGAGUGUAGAGAACAAAACCCUAACCCAACCCUACCCCACCCCCACCCCCCAGGAAAGCGCGGAUGUUGGGCAAGUGUGUGGAUUGUAAUGCUGGCCCAAUCGGUUUUUUAUAUAGCCAUGAAACACGUACCGCCAAAAAAAGUCUCAGGAUAAUCCAGAUUCAGGCAAAAAAGUGCUAUAGCUGAUCCCAGUUUAUCUCCACCAAAUGUGGAAUCCAUUGUAAACACCAACCCCUGCUGAAGCACAGUAAAAUACUCCAAACAAGGUUUCCAAAAACACCCCACUUUUAACUCACUUCUUUCUAGGAAAGCAUCUGCAGUUGGCAAAUCCAUGUCGGGGUGGAGUUAAGGGCUGGGCAAGUGAGAGGUUGACAUCACCAUCUCCAGAGGGGACCUCCCUCUCUCUGCAGGGAAACUUGAGGCUGACCAAGCUCCCUCAUAGUGACUGAACUCCCAUUGAUCUCCCUCUAAAACAUUUCUGCCGAAAGCCUCUACAGGCUAUAGGGAAGUCCUUUGUAGGCUGUAUCUGGCCAGUGUAUCAUAUGCUGUGCAGGCCUGGUUUACACUGACCAUAUAAUGCAGUUUCAAACUUCAUUAUAUGCAAAGCAGUUACUAUCUUCCCAACACAAAAAUGGAAAAUUGAAUUUUGGUGGGCAGAAAAAGAGAUUAAAAGAUGGGCUUAAAACUGUGGCAUAGACACCGAGAACUGGGAAGCUCUGGCCCUCAAAUGUUCUAACUGGAGGUCAGCUGUUAACAAUAGUGCUGUGGAAUUCGAAUAGGCAUGAAUAGAGGGCAAAAGGGAGAAACGUGUCAAGAGAAAGGCACCUCAUGCCAACCCUGACCAGGACCACCUUCCACCUGGAAAUCGAUGUCCUCACUGUGGAAGAACAUACUGAUCAAGAAUAGAUCUCUACAAUCACUUACGGCCCCACCAACAAGACACAAAUCUUGGAAGAUAAUCAUACUUGGACAUGAGUGAUCGCCGAAGAUAUGGCAAUGUAGAUCCAGCCCAUGUUUCAGAGGAAGAGGCUGCCAAAAUCACAUCUGAGGAUUCAUUGCCUAGGAAAAUCUAUGAAGUUCAUAGAUUGAGUCAGCAGACACAUAAACAUACUCAUAAUGCUUCAAUGUGUCCUGAAUCCAACGGGCACUAAGAUCUAGAGCUGACCAAGUAGGCAACCUCUCUCUGUUAAAGUUAAACUGCCUUUUGACCUCUGCUGGGAAACGUGGUGUACAAAUGUGCCUGCACAUUGAGCCAAGAAGCAGCCAAUCUACCUGGCUGAGCUGUUUAAGGCACAACAUUCAGAUUGCAGUCUCCCGUGGAGGUGAAGAAGAGUGUUAGGUUCAUGGAAGAAGACAGGUGAAAACACAGAAAGGAUGAGGAAGGUAGAAGAGUGUUGGGUUCAUGGAAGAAAACAGGUGAAAACACAGAAAGGACGAGGAAGGUAACGCUGGGGCUUGGGGGGAUUUUGAAUUCCUAGUGGAAGAAGCUGACUCCAGAAGGAAAAAAAAAAGGGACUCCUGCUCACUGGAUAUUUAUCACUGUUUUUGAGCUCCUGCCCUAUUCAGGUUGAUCAGCUUGGUCCUAACAAUGAUGGGCAAGUUUAAUGGAGAUAUAUCUUAUGUGUUUAGCUUGAUGGUUGGAGGAUCCGAUGUUUGAUCCGUGCCCAUAAAAAGGCUGUCGCUCCAAAUACCUCUCAGGGUCAUAACGUGAAGAUGUCAAGCUUGGAAAUAUCUUUUUUUCUGCCAAAUCUUUUCUUGCUUAUGAAAAUAUCUUCCCUAUUCACAUUACCUCUCUUUUCUUUUUUUACCAUUAUAUAUAUGGAUAUUUGUGUUUCUGGCUAGGUCCUCUUUAGCCAUCUUGUUAUGCAGAGGUGCAUUUAUAUUGAUACGUGAGUAUGUUGACCUGCAAUUAUCUGCAUAUGCAUUCCUUAAAUAUACCUCAGCCGCAAAUUAAAAUUAAAAAUUCAGUUGUGGCCGAUGUCUUGGAAGAAAUGAUCACGUGACUCACUGACCUUGAUCCUUCCCACCACUGAAUUUGGGCCAAUGUGGACCCUUGGUCAGAAUGCAUGGUAAAAGGCUAUUUUUAAAGUGGUUCAAGACAAGAGAACGGUUGGAGUAUGAAUAAUCACAAAUGCUAUGGGGCAGAUUAGCAGUCAAUAUGAGGUGAGUAUUAUGUAUUUUGCUCAUGUAGACAGGGCCUGAAUGAGGUGGCAGAAGAUACUCCACAAGGAUUUGCAACGUGACUUUGUUCUUUUCAUGGAUUACAAACAUGGCAUAUUAAGUUUUUCUAAGGAAUUUAUUCUUGAAGAUAAUGAGCAGGGUGGUGUUGAUAAAGAUAUAUCAACAGAGAAGCCCAUAGUGAAAUCUAAGCAAUGCUACAGAACUCAACAUCUAAGAGUCUGGCAUGAAGAAGAAAAUUUGGAGGAACAACAUGUGAUCACCAGGUAAGAGAUUUGCAGGAAUGAGCAUCUGAUCCCAUAGCGUCUAAGAAUCCAUGCACCAAGUGGAAGAUUCAAAGAAAUUAUUUGCAACCAUUCAUUAAGGGGUUUCCAGAAUGAGCUUUUUGAACCCAUUGCAUUCAAGAGUCUGUGUAUGAAGUAGAAGAUUCAUAGGUAUGAUUUGCAACCACCAGGUAAGGGAUUUGCUGGAAUUAGUUUCUUGAACACACAGUAUUUAAAUGCUACACCUCAAAAGCUCCAGACCUUCACCUGGAGGAAUAUGAGCUGAAGCUGGUAUUGCAUUUCUUGUGUUGGAGAUAUUUCAGCGAGACAACUAGCAGAAAAACUGAAAAAUUGGGACUGAGCUGGAUCAAUCCCGCAAAAGGUAUUCACGUCCUCCUUUCUUUCCAUAUAACUCCCCUUUCUGGUUGUUAAGGGAAGUUUAUAUAUUUUCUGUUGCAGACGGCAUGAUUGAUCUACAAUAUGAUGCAAAAUGUGAAGAGAUUACUCGGGUAUUGUUCAAACCAAGACCUAAUAUCCAAGUCCAUAUUGAAUAUCCAAUGCUCUAUGCCUAAUAUUUAACCUUCCACCUUUAAAAAUGUUCAAGUCAGCACACAAAUCUUGGAGCAAUUUCUUUUGGUUUUGUUGUGUGAAAAAAAUAUUUCCUCAUCUGGAAACCUCAAUAUAAAGUUGAAUCAUUUGUGGAUAUUUUUGGCAACAUAUUUGGCAUAUUUGGCAUUAAGUAUGCCAAAUUUGGCAAUAAGUAUCAUCUAUCAUCCAGGUAAGGGAUUUGCUGGAAUUAGUUUCUUGAACACACAAACUGCUAUGCAUUCCCUUGGGGAGAUAGGGUGGUCUAUAAAUAAAGUUUUAUAUUGUUGUUAAUAUUAUACAUAAUUUAAUACAUAUUUUAUUAUAUUACUGCCCAUGGUAUAUUGUUAGUCAACAUUUAUUCCCAAACAUCUGUUUAUAUAUUAUGCCCCUUAUUUUGGGCCCACCUUAUCAUGUGUUCUUUUAAAGAUUUAUUUUCUGUCUAAUUUCAAAAGACACUUGUACACCUUUUUAAAUUACAUGGUUAUCAUCCUUACAUAAAUCAAUGUAAAAAUAGUUUUCACCAUUUUUUUUACCAGAUUCGCUUUAGCCCAUUUAUAUCCCUUUAAAAUUGUGAAAAAACAAAACAUUUGAGAUUUGCAACCUCCAUAAAAAUCCUCCCUUUCACUACUCCACCUUACUAUGUUUCAAAUACAAAAUAACAUUAUAAUAUAACCAAUUCUACUUUUAAACCUAUUCUUCAUAGAAAAAAAGGCUUCAUACAAGGAGAUAACUAGUAUUAUGCAAGGAAAGAGCCUUGAUGGUAUUUAUACAAAAGAACUCAGCAUGUUCUUAUAUGCUGGCGUGUCUUGGUGGAGCAUGUUAAGGUUGAAGGUGAGUAUUCCUCAAUCCCUUCCCAAGAUUUUGAUACAACGUAUUAUAUCACAUCCUGCUAUGCAGCGGUGCAUUUAUAUUGAUACGUGAGUAUAUUGACCUGCAUUUAUCUGAAUACGCAUUCAUUUAAUAUACAUCAGCUCUGGCCGAUGUCUUGGAAUAAAUGAUCAUGUGACUCACUGACCUUGAUCCUUCCCACCACUGAAUUUGGGGCCAAUGUGGACCCUUGGCCAGAAUACAUGGUAAAAGGCUAUUGUUUUUAAAGUGGUUUAAGGGCCAAAGAACUGGUUGGAGUGUGAAUCAGCGGCCAAUAUGAGGUAAGUAUUAUGUAUUUUGCUCAUGUAGACAGGGCCUGAAUGAGGCAGCAGAAGACACCCCACAAGGAUUUGCAACAUGACUUUGUUCUUUUCAUGGAUUACAAACAUGGCAUAUUAAGUUUUUCUAAGGAAUUUACUCUUGAAGAAAAUGAGCAGGGUUAUGUUAAUAAAGAUAUAUCAACAGAAAAGCCCAUAGUGAAAUCUAAGCAAUGCUACAGAACUUAACAUCCAAGAGUCUGGCAUGAAGAAGAAAAUUUGGAGGAACAACAUGUGAUCCCCAGGUAAGAGAUUUGCAGGAAUGAGCAUCUGAUCCCAUAGCGUCUAAGAAUCCAUGCACUGAGUGGAAGAUUCAAAGGAAUGAUUUGCAACCAUUAAGGGGUUUCCAGAAUGAGCUUUUUGAACCCACUGCAUUUAAGAGUCUGUGCAUGAAGUAGAAGAUUCAUAGGUAUGAUUUGCAAACACCAGGUAAGGGAUUUGCUGGAAUUAAUUUCUUCAACACAGUAUUUAAAUGCUACGGAUACACCCCAAAAGUCCCAGAUCUUCACCUGGAGGAAUGUGAGCUAAUGAUGGUUUUGCAUUACUUGUGUUGGAAAUAUUUCAGCGAGACAACUAGCAGAAGAACUGAGUAACUGGGACUUUGCUGGAUCAAACCAACAAAGGUACUAAAAUACUUCCCUCCCCUUUUUGGUUUUUUAGGCUAAACUGCAGGUGAAGUUUAUAUAUAUUUUUGUUGCAAACAGCAUGUUUGAUCUACAAUAUGAUGCAAAAUGUAAAGAGAUUACUCGGGCAUUGUUCGAACCAAGACCUAAUAUCCAAGUCCAUAUUGGAUAUCCAACUGUCUAUGCCUAAGAUUAAACCAUCCACCUUUAAAAAUGUUCGAGUCAGCACACAAAUCUUGGAGCAGUAUCAUUGGCUUUUUUGUGUGAAAAAAAUCUUUCCUCAUCAUAUUUACAUAAAUCAAUGUAAAAAUUAGUUUUCUCCAUUGUUUUUGACCAGAUCCGCCUUACCUCAUUUAUUGUGAAUAAAGAAAUCAUUUGAGAUUUACCCUCCAUAAAAAUCCUCUCUAUCACCACUCCACCUUACCAUGUUCCAAAUACAAAAUAACAUAAUAAAACCUAUUCUUUGUAGAAAAAAGCUUCAUACAAGGAGAUAACUAGUAUUAUGCAAGGAAAGAGCCUAGAUUGUAUUUAUUUAUUUAUUUAUUUAUUUAAUAUGCAGUAUUUAUAUUCUGCCCUUCUCACCCCGAAGGGGACUUGGGGCUGAUCACAAUGUACAUAGACAUGGCAAACAUUCAGUGCCAUUAAACAUACAGACAGAGAUAGAGACACUGUGACACCGAGUCCAUGAUGGAUUACUUCCUCAUUCCUUUCUGCAAGCUGCUGGAUGAUUUUUAUUGUGUUGUAAAUUAGUUAAAUUAGCCUCCCCGCAUAAGCGGUACCUAAAUUUCCUACUUGAUAGAUGCAACUAUCUUUUAGGUUGCUUAGGUCAACAACGAGCUGGGCUAUUUUAAUGGUUGUGCACUCAAUCUCACAUGGGCUGACUUUGAACUCAUGACCUCUUGGUCAGUAGUGAUUUAUUGCAGCUGGCUACUAACUAGCCAUGCCACAGCCUGGCCCUUUAUAUGUGCCACAGCCCGGGCCUUUAUUUAUAUGAAAGAACUCAGCAAAUUCUUAUAUGCUUGCAUGUUUUAGUGGAGCAUGUUUAGGGUGAAGGUGAGUAUUCCCCAGUCCCUUCCCAAGAUUUUGGCACAAUGCAUUAUCAUAUCACAUAUCCUUGACCGUAGAACAUUACAUUCCUCUCACCUGGGAUGUCCUCUACUGAUGACUUCUGGAGACUAACAAGUGACCACGUAAGAUAAUGGCAAAAGGUAUGUAAGUCUGAUAUUGGAACAUUGCAUAGAUAUCCAAAGGCUGCAGCCUUUGACUUGCAACUGAGGAAGCAGCUGUCUUGUUUGUACUGCACAGAUCACAUAACAACAUGUAUUGAGACAUGGAGGAAUGUUGCACAUGGAGGCAAAACAGCAAGGUUAGUAAUCUGCAAGAAGGAACGAGGGUAAGAAUAAGAAGACUAAGAAUAGAAACUUGAGAAUAAAAGCCAUGGAUGUGCCUCAGACAAAGGCCAUGAACUAAUAUAGCUAGUCUAGAAGACUGGGGAAAUUAUUGAUUGCAUUUUGAUUGGUGGAAAUCCAAUAUCAAGAUUGUCAGAAGGAGUAAUGACCAGAUGGAUGAAGCAUCUGAUGUAAAUGUGAACAGAGUUUUGCAUAUCCUUGAAGAGACCAGGGACCUCUUCACAUGGUUUUUCUUUUGAUGGGGUCUGUCAAGCAUCAUCAGAUGACAUUGGCUUGGCCCCACCAACAUUCCUCCAGAAGUGGAGGGGAAGCAUCGCAAGACACUUCUUCUGCCAUAAUGGAGAGGAAAGUGUUUUUUGGGUAGCACUAUCGGAGCUACUGCAUUUUCUUCUCCUUUCCCCCAUAUGAUGGGGAAAGGGCAAUGGGGCAACACACAUUGCUGCCCUUUCACCCAUCUGAUGGGGACAGAGACGGCAUCAACACGCCUCGUCCCAUCCCCAACAUAUGAUGGGGAGGAGGGAGGGUGCAUGAGGUGCCAACUGCUAGCAAAACGAAACAGCAUGCGAAGAGGUCCUAGAUUUGAACUUCAUUUCAGUUCGGCAUGUUAAUGGAGAAGAGAAGAGAUUAUUUGUCAGAGGUGAAUAUAAAUGAUCUUUCACACUUCCAUCUUCUCAACUUAGUAUAGUUAAUUUUUUUGACAAUAAUUCUAUUUACUUUUUGUAACAAGCAGAAUUGAUUUGGUAUCUCUGAAUAUCUUGGCUAAAUAGCUAAGUGGUUUUGGCCACCAGUCAUGAAGGAGUUGGAGAAGACCAGCUCUUUCUAGGAAGAAUAAGCAAAGCCUCUUCCAUGCAGAGUGUAGCAGAGGAAAUCUUCAUUACUCUAUAGAGUAAAAACUGAAGCCUUUUUGAUCAAAAAUAAGGUAGGACAUGUUCAUGUAUGGUAGCAACAUCUUCGGCCUCACUGUGAUCUUCAAAGGAGGUAAGGAAAACCCAAACUUCUAAGCAGUGAUGGCAGCAUGUCAUUUAGUCGCUGAUCAAGCUUGCUUAAGCAACCAAUGUCCAGUAUGGCAAACUGCAGGUAACAGAGGUUUUAGCCCCAAGAAAAUUGUCUUCUAUGUAUGGGAGACUUAGAGAAAUACUUUAAAAGUUGAUGUUUUUGUUAUGUUGUUCUACAAGACAAGACCACCAAGUUUGAAGGAUUGUAGAGUGUUUGAUCCCAUCAGUCAACUGAGGGUCAAUCAGACAUUUUUCCAGGUUUUUGGGGGUUGUGGGUUAUUCUGUUUCUGAAGGACUUGAAGACAGUGAUCGCAAUCAUAUUGUGAGCCCCAACCAGAAUAAUUAAAUUUUAUUUAAAGGGUUUAUGUACAUGUUGAGUCACCUUUCAACAGUUCAUUCAAUAGGCCGCCUCUGAUUGGGAUUUACUGGUAAGAUCCAGGCCAAUGAAAGCUCUUGAUCUCACAAGUUUCCUUAAGUGGUAAGAAGUUGGCAAGAAAAGGAUGAUAUUAAUGAUGUUGAUGAUGAUUUGCAGAUCCAUCAUAGACUAUCAGAAUGAUGUGGGGAAAGAGUUUUUUACAGGAGAAAAGUAGUGGACCUGACUAUGGUCUGGUGCCUUUGAAGAGGAAUCAUCUGAAGAUGCGGGUGAGCUUUCCUUGUGGAGAGGGGAAGUGAACUGCAACAGUGGGUGUCAGGGCCUCUUCCCUGAGCCUUACGGUGGGAAGGAGGGAGUUUAACAGUCUGAGUGAGGGGCAAUGGGGAGGCUGUCUGUGGUCCUUGCCAACAUGCCCAGGGUAGCACUGAUUGCCACUUUUGGGGUCAGGAAGGAAUUUUCCUCCAGGGCAAAUUGGCCAGAGAUCCUGGAGGUUUUUCGCCUUCCUCUGGGCAUCUGGCAGUGGCCACCGGUUAGGAAUUAAAUGAAUUGUAUAACUUUAAAAACUUGCCAAAUAGAUCAUGUCAAAUUAAUAAAAAUCACAAUAAUAGAAA